GUGGAAUCAGAGCUAUCCAAGUUGCAAGAACAACAGAUAAGUUUGAAGAACUUGGAGAAUGAGUUGUCAUUGUGGAAACUGAUUACGAAGGACAUACCUGAUGUGUCAUGUCCUGAAGAUAUACCUGUCAAGUUUGCAACAUUACAAAAGGAAGUGAUUGACAGUACAAUUAAGAUAGGAGAGGCAAAUGCGCGCUUGAAGCAAACUGAGGUAUGACUGGAUGCCACAGAACUUGCUAAACAGAAUGCUGAAGCUGAUGCUGCGUUGGCCAAAGAGAAGGCAGAAGUCUUAAAAUCAGAGGUCAAGCGGACUGAACUCAUGCUUUCUAUGGUUACUGAAGAGAUAAAUAAGUUGAGAAAUGUUAUUAAUGAUUCAAAGAGGCAUAAGAAUGAAGAAGCUGG